rnacentral:lncRNA from 1 species
GUGCGUUGUUUCUUCUCUAAGGCCUGAGGUGUGCCUAGGUUGUUAGGGACUAACGGCUUAGACGUCUUGAGUUUGUUGAGGUUGCACAGUGGAGAAGCAGAGCUGGCAAUUUGUCACCUAGCGGAUGGAAGGAUUCAAAAUUCCUUUGGCGUGAUAGUAGAAGUCCACAUCCUGGUGAUUUAUUGACUGUUCUUGGUACCUAUCGAUAGGGACACGUGUAGAGCUACUGUUGGGGCACCAGCACCAUGAUAAACAAAGUAUUCUGGAUGUAUCAAUAGGCAUAUGGAUGGUUGGAUACUCUUCUUCUGUCCCCUUAUUUUGAUGCUUCUUUUAGGUGGGGAGUUUCUCUUGCGUACUGUUCCAUGCUCAUCCUAUCAUAAAACAACGAGUGAAGGUCAUUGGCUACAAUCAAAAUAAUGGUUUGAUUCCAAGAGGAGGAGGAAGAGAAAUUAAGGUGGUGGAGAAAGGAGAUGAGCCAAUGGCUCUAGUAGAUAUUGCAAUUGGAGAUGAAUAAGAUGGAGAUAUUUACUUUGAUAGUGAGUAUUAGUCAGCCAGUUAGUUCAAUUCCAAGAAUAUUAAAUCAGGUCAAAACAGGAGGAAAAUACAAUGCUAUACACCCCUAUCCAUUCCCCCACCUCUCUCUCCUCUCUCACUUUCCCCAUCCAUUCCCUUCUACAAAAUGAAGAUAUCCAACUGAGUCUCUCUAUCAUUCUCUCCUCCAUAAUCUUGAUUCUAAAGAAAACCUAAUCCAAGUCACCUUCUCUUCUCUCAAUACUAGUAAAAUCAAUAAUCGCACGCGCAAUCCACUAUCUUUUUAGAAUAGCCUAUCUCUUAACUUCCUUUUUUUUUUCCCUUUUUACCCACUGAGUAGGAUUGCAAUGUAUCUUGGAGACAUUGAUUUUGGUGUUGUCAUGUACUUCUCGUUUGUAAUCAUAUUGAGAUGAAGGCACAAGUGCAUUCUGUGGAAGAGAUGGGUUUGAUGUAGAAAGAAAAGGUGUAGACAGGGCUGGAAAACAAUUGGCUAGGAUUGGGAAGUCAGGUUGUCUCUAAUGCCGAAUG